rnacentral:rRNA from 1 species
AGUGAACGCCGGCGGUAGGCCUAACACAUGCAAGUCGAACGGCAGCACAGUAAGAGCUUGCUCUUACGGGUGGCGAGUGGCGGACGGGUGAGGAAUACAUCGGAAUCUACUUUUUCGUGGGGGAUAACGUAGGGAAACUUACGCUAAUACCGCAUACGACCUACGGGUGAAAGCAGGGGAUCUUCGGACCUUGCGCGAUUGAAUGAGCCGAUGUCGGAUUAGCUAGUUGGCGGGGUAAAGGCCCACCAAGGCGACGAUCCGUAGCUGGUCUGAGAGGAUGAUCAGCCACACUGGAACUGAGACACGGUCCAGACUCCUACGGGAGGCAGCAGUGGGGAAUAUUGGACAAUGGGCGCAAGCCUGAUCCAGCCAUGCCGCGUGGGUGAAGAAGGCCUUCGGGUUGUAAAGCCCUUUUGUUGGGAAAGAAAAGCAGCAGGUUAAUACCCCGCUGUUCUGACGGUACCCAAAGAAUAAGCACCGGCUAACUUCGUG